AACAGCCUAGUCGAACCUUUGCCGCUUCAAGAGUAAACAGUUCCUUAGUAAAGUUCCUGUUGUUUAAUACCAGUCUCCAGGUCCUUCUAGGAACACAACAGAGGUAGACCUACAACAAAUUUGUGUGGUGCAUCUUGUAGAUGAAAUACACUGCUGCUACUGUGCAUCAGUGGUGGAGAAAGUGAAUUUUUGUAGAUGUGUUGCCUGUGAAGUGGGCUGCUUUCUCCUGGAUGGUGUCAACCUUCUUGAAUGUUGUUGGAGCUGCACUCGUUCAGGACAAUGAAGAUGAAGACUUUAGUUUCUAAGCAACUCUUAGACAUCUUAUGCGUACCACCAGGAAAUGAACAGGAGCAAGUUGCCAUAAAUAGCAGAGAACAUUAAAUCAACAAAGAAUUAUUAGAAAACAACAUUACAGAUAGAAGCAUUACUGUUGCAAAAAAUGAUAUUCAAAGAAAAAAAAUCACGUAGCACUGGCUUACAAACCAAAGAUGAUGUACAGUGAAGUCAAAGAGACGUCUUUACCUCCAAAACAGCAUCAAGUGCAAGAGAAACUUGGAAACUUUUCAAUAGUUUGUCAUACUUCUUCAGGAUGCCCCAGACAAGGGGAUGGCAUGAAGGUGUGUUGGACUCUGCCCAGCGAUAUGCCAGAUGAUGGUCCCCAUGGCGACAGGAAGUUCAGGUCAAGACUUAGCAAAACCAAGUGGUACACUUCACACUUGAACACAGAGUGGGCGAGCUGUUCUUGUUUGUGUAGACUUCCAGGCAGUCUGAUUAAAAAGAAAUCUGAACACAGAGUGAUUGAUUCUUCUUAAGAGAGAGAAUGAUCAGCAGAGGAUAAACAGCUGAUUUUGUCUGUUAACUUCCAAACAGAAUGCAGAUAGUAAGGUGAGAAGACAGAACCUGUGGAAAUUUAAGGACCUGGAAAGAUUUAACCUGUUGAGGCCACAGAAAAGCAUGUUUAAGUGAGCCAUACAGCUGGAGAUGUUUCCAGAAUUCUCAGAAUACUAAGAAGAAGUUUUGAUGGUCACUAGACAUUACAGCGCAGCACAACAGGCAGGGGCGAGUACAUUGGAAGUGGAGAACAAUUUUGGACUGUUCCUAUAAAGACUGCAAUUAUGCAGAAACUGAAGAAAUAUGUAUAAAUGCAGCUUGGGAUGACUGUGUUGUAAUGCUAAUAGGGGAUGUUUUUGCAAUAAUUUAGGAUUUUAAUGGGGUUAGGAUUAGGUUAGAGUUUGGCAACAUAAUGUUUAGCUAAUGUUGAAUUUAGCUUACUUGCUAGAAUAAAGUCUUACAAGUUAA